UCCCUGGUGGUCUAGUGGUUAGGAUUUGGUGCUCUCACUGUCACGGCCUGGGUUCGAUUCCCGGUCAGUGGAU